rnacentral:rRNA from 1 species
GAUGAACGCUGGCGGCGUGCCUAAUACAUGCAAGUCGAGCGAACGGACGAGAAGCUUGCUUCUCUGAUGUUAGCGGCGGACGGGUGAGUAACACGUGGAUAACCUACCUAUAAGACUGGGAUAACUUCGGGAAACCGGAGCUAAUACCGGAUAAUAUUUUGAACCGCAUGGUUCAAAAGUGAAAGACGGUCUUGCUGUCACUUAUAGAUGGAUCCGCGCUGCAUUAGCUAGUUGGUAAGGUAACGGCUUACCAAGGCAACGAUGCAUAGCCGACCUGAGAGGGUGAUCGGCCACACUGGAACUGAGACACGGUCCAGACUCCUACGGGAGGCAGCAGUAGGGAAUCUUCCGCAAUGGGCGAAAGCCUGACGGAGCAACGCCGCGUGAGUGAUGAAGGUCUUCGGAUCGUAAAACUCUGUUAUUAGGGAAGAACAUAUGUGUAAGUAACUGUGCACAUCUUGACGGUACCUAAUCAGAAAGCCACGGCUAACUACGUGCCAGCAGCCGCGGUAAUACGUAGGUGGCAAGCGUUAUCCGGAAUUAUUGGGCGUAAAGCGCGCGUAGGCGGUUUUUUAAGUCUGAUGUGAAAGCCCACGGCUCCACCGUGGAGGGUCAUUGGAAACUGGAAAACUUGAGUGCAGAAGAGGAAAGUGGAAUUCCAUGUGUAGCGGUGAAAUGCGCACAGAUAUGGAGGAACACCUGUGGCGAAGGCGACUUUCUGGUCUGUAACUGACGCUGAUGUGCGAAAGCGUGGGGAUCAAACAGGAUUAGAUACCCUGGUAGUCCACGCCGCAAACGAUGAGUGCCUACUGUUAGGGGGUUUCCGCCCCUUAGUGCUGCAGCUAACGCAUUAAGCACUCCGCCUGGGGAGUACGACCGCAUGGUUGAAACUCAAAGGAAUUGACGGGGAUCCGCACAACCGGUGGAGCAUGUGGUUUAAUUCGAAGCAACCCGAAGAACCUUACCAAAUCUUGACAUCCUUUGACAACUCUCGAGAUAGAGCCUUCCCCUUCUGGGGACAAAGUGACAUGUGGGGCCUGGUUGUCGUCAGCUCCGCGUCGUGGAGAUGUUGGGUUAAGUCCCCGCACGAGCGCAACCCUUACCCUUAGCUCCCCUCCAUUUACGUUGGGCACUCCUACUUGACUGCCCGUGACACACCUUACGAAAGGUGGGGAUGACGUCAAUAUCUCUUCGUCCCUUAUGACUUGGGCUCCCUCCUGCCACUAUGGACAUUUCAUAAGGGCCCCGACCCGUCAAGGUCCAACCAAUUCCCAUAACCCUUGUUUCUCCAUUUCCAAUUGGUAUCUGGAACUCGACUUCUAUGAACAUGGCUCCCUACUCAUCGUAUAUCACUUUGUAUCCGUGAAAACUUUCCCUGG